rnacentral:rRNA from 1 species
GGUGGAGCAUGUGGUUUAAUUCUAUGCAACGCGAAGAACCUUACCUACCCUUGACAUCGUGCGAACCCGGAAGAGAUUCCGGGGUGCCCUCGGGAGCGCACAGACAGGUGCUGCAUGGCUGUCGUCAGCUCGUGUUGUGAAAUGUUGGGUUAAGUCCCGUAACGAGCGCAACCUUUGUCCCUAUUUGCCAGCACGUAACGGUGGGAACUCUAGGGAGACUGCCGGUGACAAACCGGAGGAAGGUGGGGACGACGUCAAGUCAUCAUGGCCCUUACGGGUAGGGCUACACACGUGCUACAAUGGCCGGUACAGAGGGACGCGAAGCCGCGAGGUGAAGCCAAUCCCGCAAAGCCGGUCUCAGUCCGGAUCGGAGUCUGCAACUCGACUCCGUGAAGUCGGAAUCGCUAGUAAUCGU